GUCAGUGUGGCCGAGUGGUUAAGGCGCUAGACUUGGACUAUUGCAUAUAGUAAUUUAGGUAAUUCAUUACUAUAUAGCGUGGUAUAUCUAGUACAUUCGUGUUCGUAGUCGAAUCCUGCCGAUGACG
rfam:Aspergillus oryzae strain BCC7051 OAory_C04, whole genome shotgun sequence.